rnacentral:rRNA from 1 species
AUUGAACGCUGGCGGCAUGCCUUGCACAUGCAAGUCGAACGGUAACGGGCCUUCGGGUGCCGACGAGUGGCGAACGGGUGAGUAAUAUAUCGGAACGUGCCCAGUAGUGGGGGAUAGCCCGGCGAAAGCCGGAUUAAUACCGCAUACGACCUGAGGGUGAAAGCGGGGGAUCGCAAGACCUCGCGCUAUUGGAGCGGCCGGUAUCUGAUUAGCUAGUUGGUGGGGUAAAGGCCCACCAAGCCAACGAUCUGUAGCUGGUCUGAGAGGACGACCAGCCACACUGGAACUGAGACACGGUCCAGACUCCUACGGGAGGCAGCAGUGGGGAAUUUUGGACAAUGGGCGAAAGCCUGAUCCAGCCAUUCCGCGUGCAGGAUGAAGGCCCUCGGGUUGUAAACUGCUUUUGUACAGAACGAAAAGGUUUCUACUAAUACUAGGAGCUCAUGACGGUACUGUAAGAAUAAGCACCGGCUAACUACGUGCCAGCCGCCGCAGUAAGAC